rnacentral:lncRNA from 1 species
GAUUGAAAUAUACAGGGAAACCCAGACUAACCAGGACAUAUAACAGGGAAAACCUAGACAACCAGGACAUAUAUACAGGUAAAACCCUAGACUAACCAGGAAUAUAUACAGGGAAAACCUCUAGACUAACCAGGACAUAUAUACAGGGAAAACCUCUAGACAAACCAGGACAUAUAUACAGGGAAAACCUCUAGACUAACCAGGACAUAUAUACAGAAAUAUACAGGGAAAACCGCUGGACUAACCAGGACUAUAUACAGAAUAUACAGGGAAAACCGGGACUAACCAGGACAUAUAUACAGAAAUAUACAGGGAAAACCGCUGGACUAACAGGACAUAUAUACAGAAAUAUACAGGGAAAACCGCUGGACUAACCAGGACUAUAUAACAGAAAUACAGGGAUAACCUAGACUAACCAGGACAAAUACAAAUAUACAGGAAAACCGCUGGACUAACCAGGACUAUAUACAGAAAUAUACAGGAAAACUCUAUACUAACCAGGACAUACAUACAGGGAAAACCUCUACAACUAACCAGGACAUAUAUACAGGGAAAACCCCUAGACUAACCAGGACAUAUAUACAGGGAAAACCUCUAGACUAACCAGGACAUAUAUACAGACAUAUACAGGGAAAACCCCUAGACUAACCAGGACAUAUAUACAGGGAAAACCUCUGGACUAACCAGGACAUAUAUCAGGGAAAACCCCUAGACUAACCGGACAUAUAGUUCCAGUCAACAGUUUGGACACUACUCAUUCAAGGGUUUUUCUUUGUUUUUUACUAUUUUCUACAUUGUCGAAUAGUGAAGACAUCAAAACUAUGAACACAUAUGGAAUCAUGUAGUAAAUAUAUUAUAUUUGAGAUUCUUCAAAGUAACCACCCUUUGCCUUGAUGACAGCUAGAAUGCUUUUCCAACCGC